CCUACGGGUGGCAGCAGUGAGGAAUAUUGGUCAAUGGUCGGGAGACUGAACCAGCCACGCCGCGUGAGGGAUGAAGGUACAGAGUAUCGUAAACCUCUUUUGUCAGGGAACAAAGGCGGGGACGUGUCCCCGGAUGAGUGUACCUGAAGAAAAAGCAUCGGCUAACUCCGUGCCAGCAGCCGCGGUAAUACGGAGGAUGCGAGCGUUAUCCGGAUUUGUGGGGUUUAAGGGGUGCGCAGGCGGUCUGUUAAGUCAGCGGUAAAAGCCCGGGGCUCAACCCCGUCCCGCCGUUGAAACUGGCAGUCUCGAGUUGGAGAGAAGUAUGCGGAAUGCGCGGUGUAGCGGUGAAAUGCAUAGAUAUCGCGCAGAACUCCGAUUGCGAAGGCAGCAUGCCGGCUCCACACUGACGCUGAGGCACGAAAGCGUGGGUAUCGAACAGGAUUAGAUACCCCUGUAGUA
rnacentral:rRNA from 1 species